AACGAACGCUGGCGGCAUGCCUAACACAUGCAAGUCGAACGAGACCUUCGGGUCUAGUGGCGCAUGGGUGCGUAACGCGUGGGAACCUGCCCUUAGGUUCGGAAUAACUCCCCGAAAGGGGUGCUAAUCCCGGAUAAUGUCUUCGGACCAAAGGUUUAUCGCCUUUGGAUGGGCCCGCGUUGGAUUAGCCAGUUGGUAGGGUAAAAGCCUACCAAGGCGACGAUCCAUAGCUGGGCUGAGAGGAUGAUCAGCCACACUGGGACUGAGACACGGCCCAGACUCCUACGGGAAGCAGCAGUGGGGAAUAUUGGACAAUGGGCGAAAGCCUGAUCCAGCAAUGCCGCGUGAGUGAUGAAGGCCUUAGGGUUGUAAAGCUCUUUUACCCGGGAUGAUAAUGACAGUACCGGGAGAAUAAGCUCCGGCUAACUCCGUG
rnacentral:rRNA from 1 species